rnacentral:tRNA from 1 species
GGUUUUAUGGUGUAAUGGUAGCACAAUGGUCUCUGAAUCCAUUAAUACGAGUUCGAUUCUCGUUAAAACCU